rnacentral:rRNA from 1 species
UACGUAGGAUCCGAGCGUUAUCCGGAGUGACUGGGCGUAAAGAGUUGCGUAGGUGGUUUGUAAAGCGAAUAGUGAAAUCUGGCGGCUCAACCGUACAGGCUAUUAUUCGAACUCACAAACUCGAGAAUGGUAGAGGUAACUGGAAUUUCUUGUGUAGGAGUGAAAUCCGUAGAUAUAAGAAGGAACACCAAUGGCGUAGGCAGGUUACUGGACCAUUUCUGACACUGAGGCACGGAAAGCGUGGGGAGCGAACCGG